AUAAUGUGCCACAAGAUAGGAGUGGUAUGUUAAGUAGUACUAUUCUUAACAGUUUAAUCCCUGUUAUGUCCCCUAUUAGGGGACGUGUAUAUGACAUCGAUUUUAGGAACCGGGAGAUGGAAAAAGAUGCUUGGUCGGUAAUCCUACUUCAAAUUUGGGGCACUGCGCAUGCAAUCUAAUGUGCCACCAGAUAGGAGUG